UGAUCUGCCUACCAUGGUGAUAACGGGUAACGGGGAAUCAGGGUUCGAUUCCGGAGAGGGAGCCUGAGAAACGGCUACCACAUCCAAGGAAGGCAGCAGGCGCGAAAAUUACCCACUCCCGGCACGGGGAGGUAGUGACGAAAAAUACGAAUACGGGACUCAAUCGAGGCUCCGUAAUUCGAAUGAGUGCAAUCUAAAUCCUUGAACGAGGACCAAUUGGAGGGCAAGUCUGGUGCCAGCAGCCGCGGUAACUCCAGCUCCAAAAGCGUAUAUUAAAGUUGCUGCAGUUAAAAAGCUCGUAGUUGGAUCUGGGUCGUGCGUUCACAUGUCGUUGUUUGGUUCUGGCUUCGGUCAGUUUCGAACGAUGAUGAGGUGGUCGCGCAGCCUUUCAGCCGUGUCUGCGUGAGCAGGUGUUGGCUGGCCGGUGGGCUUGCUUGCUGGCCAGUUGGCAUGUUUCCUGAUGCCUUUAAACGGGUGUCGGGGGCGUACGGCACUUUUACUUUGAACAAAUUUGAGUGCUCAAAGCAGGCCCAUGUGCCUGAAAAGUCUUGCAUGGAGUAAUGGAAUAGGACUUCGGUUCUAUUUUGUUGGUUUCCGGAUCCGAAGUAAUGGUUAAGAGGAACAGACGGGGGCAUUUGUAUGUGGCGUGAGAGGUGAAAUUCUAUGAUCGUCGCCAGACAAACUACAGCGAAAGCAUUUGCCAAGAAUGUUUUCAUUGAUCAGGAGCGAAAGUCAGAGUUUCGAAGACGAUCAGAUACCGUCCUAGUUCUGACCAUAAACGAUGCCAACUGACG
rnacentral:rRNA from 1 species